CCUACGGGAGGCAGCAGUAGGGAAUAUUGGGCAAUGGACGGAAGUCUGACCCAGCCAUGCCGCGUGCAGGAAGAAGGUCCUCUGGAUUGUAAACUGCUUUAGACGGGGAAGAAUAAGGAUCUUGCGAGAUCUGAUGACGGUACCCGUAGAAUAAGCACCGGCUAACUACGUGCCAGCAGCCGCGGUAAUACGUAGGGUGCGAGCGUUGUCCGGAUUUAUUGGGUUUAAAGGGUGCGUAGGCGGGAGAGUAAGUUCGCUUUUAAAGCCGGCCGCUUAACGGUCAGGUAGGGGGCGGAUACUGCUUUUCUUGAGAGGGCUCGGGGCUGGCGGAAUUUGUGGUGUAGCGGUGAAAUGCAUAGAUACCACAAGGAACACCGAUCGCGUAGGCAGCCAGCCAGGGCCUUUCUGACGCUGAGGCACGAAAGUGCGGGGAGCAAACAGGAUUAGAUACCCUGGUAGUCCGCACUGUAAACGAUGCAUACUCGGUGUCGGCUCGUUAGAGCCGGUGCCUGAGGGAAACCGAUAAGUAUGCCACCUGGGGAUACGCCGGCAACGGUGAAACUCAAAGGAUUGACGG
rnacentral:rRNA from 1 species